rnacentral:lncRNA from 1 species
UGGUUUCAGUUAGAACAGAAUUAAUUUUCUUCCUAGUAGCUGGUGGAAUGCUGUGUUUUGGCUUAGGAUGAGAAGAGUGCUGAUAACACCCCGAUGCUUUAAUUGUUGCAGAGCAGUGCUUAUACUAAGCCAAGGACAUCUCAGCCUUUUGCUCUGUCCUGCCAACGGGCAGGCUGGGGGUGCAGUAAGAGCUGGGAGGGGACAGACCCAGGACAGGUGACCCAAACUAGCCAAAGGGGUAUUCCAUACCAUCUGACGUCAUGCUAAACAAUAUAUAGGGGUGGCUAGCUGGGGGGGAAGGGGGCCGGACUGCUCGGGGUUAGGCUGGGCAUCGGUCAGCGAGUGGUGAGCAAUUGCAUUGUGCAUCACUUGUUUGUACAUACUAUUAUUACUUUCCUAUUAUCAUCAUUGUAUUAUUAUUGUUAUUAUUUUUAUUAUUAUUUUGUUAUUAUUAUUUUCCUGUCUUAUUAAACUGUCUUUAUCUCAACUCACGGGCUUCACUUUCCAUUUCUCUCCCCCGUCCCGGAGAGGGAGGGGGGAGGGUGAGCGAACGGCUGCGUGGUGUUUAGCUGCCGGCCGGGUUAAACCACAACAGCCUUUUUGGGGAGAGUCUUCUGCCAAUCCAGGUAAGGCUUCUGCCAAAACUAAGUAUAGAGAUGACGAAGAUGAUGACGACGCUGGGCCAUCAAGGAUUCAGGAGGAGGAAGAUGAGGAUGCCGAAAGAGCAACAGUAACUACGCGAAGCCUAAACGAGCGCGAGCUACGAGAUGUGCGAAAAGAUUUUGGUCGCUGUAUAGGUGAGCAGCUUGUCACCUGGCUGCUCCGGUGCUGGGACUCUGGAGCCAAUUGUGUGGAAUUAGACGGCAGGGAAGCCAGACGGUUGGGAUCCCUUGCUCGAGACGCCGGCAUUGACAAAGCAAUUGCAGAUGGAGCACGACCCACCAGCCUCUGGAGGCGUCUCCUCUCAGCUGUGAGGGAAAGGUAUCCCUUCAAGGAAGAUAUUUUAUGUGUACCAGGCAAGUGGACCACUAUGGAGAAGGGAAUCCAGUACCUGAGGGAAUUAGCCGUACGGGAAGUGAUUUAUGAGGAUCCAGACCAGACACAAACAUCCAAAGAUCCAGAUGGAGUCAAGUGUACACGACCCAUGUGGCGGAAGUUUGUACGGAGUGCACCAUCAUCAUAUGCCAGCUCAUUGGCAGUAAUGGCCUGGAAAGAGGAUGAGGAACCCACAGUGGAUGAAGCGGCUAAACAACUCCGGCAGUACGAAGAAAGUCUCUCCUCUUCCUUACAGGCCUGCGUCUCAGCUGUGGAGAAACUGUCUGAAGAGGUCCACCAACUUAAAGAGAAUCUAUCUUCCCCCCAGCC